GGCUACUUCCUGGGGAGUGCUGCAUAGUCAGAGAGCCCCUUCACCUUUUGGCCCUUUAUUGCAUCAAUGCAGUAAAGCUUGUUUACUGGCACGGAAAGUUCUGCAUGGAAGCACUAAAACGUCACCCAGGAUAUCCUGACAAAGGGGGAGGAGCUUGGCCAGCGUGACAGCAAGAUGCAAUUUACUGCUGGAAUGUCUACAAGAGCUUUUGGUCAGGUUCUUUUGCACCAAGUGGAGCACAGUGGUGGCGUACUGAGGACAGUGUCCACAGAUAACAAGCUACAAAACAGUACUGAAAUCUGGCAGCACGUGCUUAUUUGUUACACAUGGAAGAAUGGAAGUCUGAUGGUGAAGAAGAAUCAGGAAAUCGCCUGAUCACCAGCACAGGGCUGACAUGGUUGAAAACAGCAGGAUUGAGAACAAUUAUAUCAGUGGCUGCAUGCAGAUUGGAUACACACCAAGUCUUUACUCAGAAGUUAUUGCAUAAAUACACAACAGAAACUGAAGCUGACAAAAAGAAGCAAUUAAUAUUUCCAUCUUGAAAGAAUUAUCAUUGUGUUACUCUGAUUUGUAAAUCUUAGCAAUGUUACUGGACCUCUCU